rnacentral:tRNA from 1 species
AGGGAUUUAGCUCAGUGGUUCCAGUGUCUGCUUUGCAAGCACGGAGACCCAAGUUCAAUCCCUGGUAUCCCCC